rnacentral:rRNA from 1 species
UGCGUAGGCGGAAAAUUAAGUCAGUGGUGAAAUCCUGCAGCUUAACUGUAGAACUGUCAUUGAUACUGAUUUUCUUGAAUAUAGUUGAGGUAGGCGGAAUGUGUAAUGUAGCGGUGAAAUGCUUAGAUAUUACACAGAACACCGAUUGUGAAGGCAGCUUACUAAGCUAUUAUUGACGCUGAGGCACGAAAGCGUGGGGAGCGAACAGGAUUAGAUACCCUGGUAGUCC